CCGUCUCAGAUCAGAUGUUCUGCCAAAACAGACACGGUAGUCUGUCAAUCCUCGCUCCGCGUCCCCAAUCCCCGCAAACCCGCCGGCAAUUCACAGAUUUCCAGAUUGACUCCACCCGAAAUCAUGCCAGAAAAACGGAUCCGCAGCAACUUGCGCAGCCCCACCUUCCUUCCCCUGAUCCCCUCCUCCCGUGUGCUUCCUUCCCCAUCGCCGCGAGUUGACCCGUCCUCUGGUCGUCGCCCGCCGUACAGCAAGCCGCCGCCGACCUCCUCUGUCGGACGAGCAGAGCUCUGUCCGGACCUUCCCGACCAUAUCGACAUAUCGACGAUGACGACGAGCGAAUCUCCCCCCCCCCCCCCCCCGCGCGCGCGCACCGUCCGUCGUGUCCGCCUUGGCUAGCCGCACUACGCAUCUGUCCCACCUCCCAGCCAGCCCUGCCGCCCUAGGCAUGUGAUCGAUAAUAUUUCUCUGAAGGCAGAAAUUAUACACUGAUAUGUCGUUUCAACCAUUGGGUACCAUUCUGAUGAAGGUGAUUUGAUUCUUCCAAUCUGUUUGAGAAGCAAGCAGAUGAAGCAUAGGAGCGACAUGAUACUCCAUAUUCCCAGCAAAAAUCAUGGUUAAUGUUUUUAAUAUUCUCAUAGUAGUGUCCAAUUACUUACGACUAAUCUUAUUCAUAUAUGGUAAUUUACUGUAACGCACAGAACUUUAUUCAUAUAUCAAGACCACUUUGUAGUGUUUGCUUACUGUUUCUUUGGUCCUGUUAAUUGGUUGAUAUACUAGAUGAUUAUCUAUCCAUUCAACAUUGUGACUGGCCUUUUUUUCUCUUCAGUUAUAUGUAGAACCUGAUUGGUGAAGCUAAUUGUCAAAUCUGCCAGGAAAGCUUCGGCACCACUGCAAAUGAUUGUUCUUAUAUGUUGCAUAACACUAGCAGGAGUACAACAGAAGGGAAGUGGCAGAGAGGGAAUGACAGAGGCAGGCCUAAGCAUGUUCCUUAUAUUCUUCUAUCUCCUAUUUAUUGCAUGGGUCACCAUCAUGAGUGGGCAUUUGCUUACUGGGCAAAGGAGUAGAACCCACAUAUGGUUGUUUGACCAUGCUGGAAGUGACCGCUUGCCCAAAACUGAAUUAGAAGGAGAGAGGUCUAAGGAGGCAAAGUUCAUCGACAAGUCACUGUCUGCACUAGGUGAUGUUAUUGCUUCCCUUACCUUCAAAGCGCCCAUGUGCAUGUUUAUUCACCUUCGUUUUUGUUUUGUACUAUCACUGAAACUGAUUGCGUGCAUGCAACAGUUCAUUAGUGCCUAUGUAAUUGAUUAUCCAUGACAAAAAUAGCUCUUUGUAGUGUUCUCUAUUCUUGAGACUGUCGAAAACUCAAUGCUUAUAAAGAGCAAACUUUUUUGUGUGAUCAUCAUGGGAUUUAUUUUAUAGAUUGCAGUGGCUUUGCCAAAGUAUCAAGGCAACCAUUCAGAUGUUGGCGACAAUGAGGCACUGAGAAAGAAGAGUGCAUCUGUGGCUUUGUCUAACUUGUCGAGACCAGGCUCACGCUAUUGCUCAUAUCUUGCUUGUUAAAAUUCACAUCUUCUACACGUGAUAAGCAAGUUGCACUGAUUUUUCCAAGUACAUUCCCAGUAUAGUAGUAUUUCUUUCUUCAAAUGCAUCAUUGUAUUUUUAUAAAUGCAUGUUCCAGUGUAGUAGUUCUUUGUUUUCCAAAUGCAUGUUCUAAUUCAAAUAAUUAAUUUCAAGGUGCGGCCAUCAUAUGUCAUCAGGAUCAUUCUUAACCUGCAAAUUUUUACUCCCUCCGUUCCUAAAUAUAAGUCUUUUUAGAGAUUCAUAUAUGGACUACAUACGAAGCAAAAUGAGUGAAUCUACACUCUAAAAUAAGUCUAUAUACAUCCGUAUGUAGUGCAUAUUGAAAUUUCUAAGAAGACUUAUGUUUAGGAAUAGAGGGAGUAGUUUUGAGUUGUAAUCAAGUUAGAUAGCUUUUAGUUCGCACAACUUCAUUGUCUGAUUAUUCUAGCUUUAUACAUGACGUUGUCUUUUUUUGUAUCUUUCAGAGAAUCAGAGGAGGCACAACCAACUAAGAAUCAUGUCAGGUGAAAGGUACAAGCUAUUGUGGUUAUCCUAGGGCAUAUGGUAGUUUUUUCGGUAGAAGAAUUAAAGGAGUAGCAUUACGAGAGAUAUGUGACUGGACUUUUCGUGUACGCUCAAUUACCCAUUGUGUACUGAAUUUUCUGUAAUUCAACACGUGAGUUGUCGUCAGAUUUAAGAGGGGAUUUAGUUUGUUUC